ACCAGAAUGGCCGAGUGGUUAAGGCGUUGGACUCAAGUUCCAAUGGGCGUGAGCCUGCGUGGGUUCGACUCCCACUUCUGGUA